UGGCUCAGGACGAACGCUGGCGGCGUGCCUAAUACAUGCAAGUAGAACGCUGAAGAGAGGAGCUUGCUCUUCUUGGAUGAGUUGCGAACGGGUGAGUAACGCGUAGGUAACCUGCCUUGUAGCGGGGGAUAACUAUUGGAAACGAUAGCUAAUACCGCAUAACAAUGGAUGACACAUGUCAUUUAUUUGAAAGGGGCAAUUGCUCCACUACAAGAUGGACCUGCGUUGUAUUAGCUAGUAGGUGAGGUAACGGCUCACCUAGGCGACGAUACAUAGCCGACCUGAGAGGGUGAUCGGCCACACUGGGACUGAGACACGGCCCAGACUCCUACGGGAGGCAGCAGUAGGGAAUCUUCGGCAAUGGGGGCAACCCUGACCGAGCAACGCCGCGUGAGUGAAGAAAGGUUUUCGGGAUCGUAAAGCUCUGUUGUAAGUCAAAGAACGAGUGUGAGAGUGGAAAGGUUCACACUGUGACGGGUAGCUUACCAGAAAAGGGACGGCUUAACUACGUGCCCAGCAGCCGGCGGGUAAUACGUAGGUCCCCAAGCCGUUUGUCCCGGGAUUUAUUGGGCCGUAAAGCGAAGCCCAGGGCGGGUUUGGAUAAAUUCUGAAAGUUUAAAGGCUGGGGCUCCAACCCAUAUUUGCCUUUUGGAAAAACUGGCCAAACUUGAAUGGCGAAAGGGGAAAGAGGGGAAUUUCCCUGGUGUGACGGGUGAAAUGGCGUGAAUAUAUUGGAGAAAACACCCGUGUGGCUAAAGCGGCCUCUCUGGGUCGUGUACACUAGACCUCUGAGAGGCUCCAAAAGCGGGGUGGACGCAGCACACC
rnacentral:rRNA from 1 species